AUUGAACGCUGGCGGCAUGCCUAACACAUGCAAGUCGAACGGCAGCACGGGUACUUGCUCCUGGUGCCGAGUGGCAGACGGGUGCGUGUUACAUCGGCAUCUGUACUGUAGUGGGGGUUAGGCCGGCGAAAGCCGGAUUAAUACUGCAUCCGCUCUCCGGCUGCGAGUGGGGGCACUUCAGCUUUCGCGCUAUAGGGAUGGAAGAUGGCGGAUUAGCUAGUUGGUGGGGUAAAGGCCUACCAAGGCGACGAUCAGUAGCUGGUCUGAGAGGACGACCAGCCACACUGGAACUGAGACACGGCCCAGACUCCUACGGGAGGCAGCAGUGGGGAAUUUUGGACAAUGGGCGAAAGCCUGAUCCAGCAAUGCCGCGUGUGUGAAGAAGGCCUUCGGGUUGUAAAGCACUUUUGUCCGGAAAGAAAAGCAUGACCCUAAUACGGUCGUGUUAUGACGGUACCGGAAGAAUAAGCACCGGCUAACUACGUG
rnacentral:rRNA from 1 species